CCUGGGCCGCCCGCCGCCCGCCGCCGCCUGGGCCGCCGCUGCCCCGGGGCGCCCGGGAGGAAGAGGAAAUGCCCGGGCCCGCGGCGCCCCCUCUGACGGACCCUCUGAGCCGCCGUCGGCGCCGCCAGAGCGAGGCUGCGGCGGGGCCGAGACCGAGGCCGGGGGAAAAUAUAUUCCAAGUUACAAACAAUUGAAUUUCAAAUGAAGUUUUGGAGCAUCACCUAUAAAUUGGGACUGCCCCAUGCAUGUGAAAGGUUGAUGUGCUGACUUAACCUCACACUGAGGACUGAGGAGGAGACAUGAACACUCAGAAGAGAGAAAUGACCAAAGCGGACAGAAGAUGGACUGGGGCCCUGUGAGCUCCAGCUGAGGAAGGUUAAAGACAGACUCCUGAUGACCCCAUUUGGGGUUUCUUGGCAGAGAUAUUGGAGAGGUCAGCUGUUUCCUUCUCCAGCUCAUUUUACAGAGGAGGAAACUGAGGCAGAUGGGGGAGAAAUAAACCAUAAGAAAACCAUGCCUGGCUGGUUCAAACAUAAGAAGCAAAGCUUCCCAGGAGAAGUAAAGAUUUGCUUCCUGGCUCUUCCCUACUUUCCCCAAGAAAGUCAGGUUCUACCUCACCUCUGGCUCAGACCCGAAUGCUCAAAUCAGUGUGACACCUUCUGGAAAAAGCAGGCCAGUUGUGGCUGAUUUAUGGUUUGACUGUUAGUGACUCCCCUGGCCACUCCCCUGAAUGUACCAUCUCCACCCAUUCGAGAAUAUUAGAUGACUGGAACUGGCUCCCUCUUUGUAUUUGUAUCCCCAUGGAACCUGAUCCAUGGUGCUUAAUAAAAGCUUUUUUGUUCAUUAAAGGGGAUACUAAGUUGAUUUGCAUGGGAAUUUUUAGCUUGCUGUCCAACAACCAAAGCUUGUUGGUUCUUACACCUAUAUUUUUGUAAUUGCCCUUGCCCUGUCUACCCUCCCUUUAUCUCCUGGCCCCCCCAGUUGACAUACCUUGAUUGACAGGUUGGUACAGAAGAGAGUGUUGGGAGUUGGAGGUAGAAGAUCUCUGUUCAAAUCCCAGCUCUGCUACUCCCUACAGGACACAUCAGCAUCCUCAUGUAUAAAGUGAGAAGGUUGAAUUAGGUGGCCCCAGAUCCUUCUGGCUGCAAAUCUGUUAUUCUGUGAUCUAAUGACAGUCCCUCAAAUUUUCAGUGACAGCAUCAGUGAAAGAAGUCCUAAAAACUUACCUGUUGCAAAUUGACACAAGAGGCAUCUCACCAUUGCUGUACAAGCACUUCUCUGUCCUGGCAUUUUACUUCAUUCCUCACAGGGGCCUGUUCCAAACUCUUCCUUCUCUUCAUUCACUAGCAGGGUACAAUGAGACCUUGAUCGAGUCAUUCACAAAGCCGUGAAACCCCACAGGGACAGCCACGUGCAGGUCCCUCCACUGAAGAUCCUGGCCUGGACUCACUCGGGUGGCUUUAAGUGGAGCCAUGCAGCCAGUGCUGGGUGAGGGCACUGGGGCCCAAGUGGUGGGGGGCUUACCCGAGUCAUAGGGGCAGCACCUGUGCCCUGAGAGGAGGACUCUGCGACGGGCCACGCUGCCAGUGCGAGGAGACUUGGGUGAGCCUGAAAGCAUUAUGUAUGAGAUGAGUUAUGGGGAGCAAUGAUGGACAGAUAGAAAACAUCACCACGUCCUGCAGUGGUGGAAGCAGAUCUGGAAUUACCAUCAAGCACCUGCCGUCUCUUGCCAGGCUUUCCAGCCCCUCCUGGAUCUGGCCAGCGCUCAGCUGGAGAUGAAGUGAAGGGCCAUGAGUGGCCCCAGGCCAGUGAACACUCGAGGGGAGUGCCAGAGGCUGACCUAAGUUCACAAACAUUAAUGGUCCUGAGAACUCAAGUCUAUGGAUUUAUUCAGCGGAAAUCAGCCAUGAGCAGGUGGAGGGCCCGAUCUUGCCGGCUAGUCUCCGUGUGACGUUGACAUGCGCGCCACCAGUUACAACUGCCCACUGAAGCCGAAUUUGCGGGUCUUAUAUAAAAUAGGGGUCUGACUAAGUUCUCAAGAGGAAAUCUGCAUGGAAGCCCUGCCACCAGCCCUACCCUUGUGGGAUGGAGUACCACGUGACCCAAUCACCAGCCUUGAUUACCAAACUCCCCUUGAUGCCUUUUGUCCCAUUCAGUUCUGAUUCUGCUUCUGCCUUACCUGGCAAGCCCUCCUGUAACAAGCAUGGAACUACCACAGGACGGACAGCUUAGCAAAAAUCACCUCGACGGCUAACUUAAGAUGGUCUGAAGAUUGCACAGCGCAGCCCCGUACCUCUUCACCAAAGCAAGGAAGGUUCUUUCCCCUCGUUUCCUUUUUUUGAUAUUACAGCAUGCGUUUAUUAAGAGCUUCCUGUGUGCCAGUUACAGUCCUGGUACUGGUCUGUGCCCUCAGGAAAUCUGCAGCCACGGGAGUGCCCACCAACAUGAGGGACCUGCCGUGUGUUUGGGGGCAGUGUUCAUAAACACAUAAGAAAAAAUAAAUGUUUUUACAUGACCACUA